rnacentral:rRNA from 1 species
UACAGAGGGUGCGAGCGUUGUCCGGAAUCACUGGGCGUAAAGGGCGCGUAGGCGGCUUGAUAAGCGUGCGGUGAAAGCCCGGGGCUCAACCCCGGGUCGGCCGUGCGAACUGUCGAGCUGGAGCACUGUAGAGGCAGGUGGAAUUCCGGGUGUAGCGGUGGAAUGCGUAGAGAUCCGGAAGAACACCGGUGGCGAAGGCGGUCUGCUGGGCAGUAGCUGACACUGAGGCGCGACAGCGUGGGGAGCAAACAGG